rnacentral:rRNA from 1 species
AGUGAACUCUGGCGGUAGGCCUAACACAUGCAAGUCGAACGGCAGCACAGUAAGAGCUUGCUCUUACGGGUGGCGAGUGGCGGACGGGUGAGGAAUACAUCGGAAUCUACUUUUUCGUGGGGGAUAACGUAGGGAAACUUACGCUAAUACCGCAUACGACCUACGGGUGAAAGCAGGGGAUCUUCGGACCUUGCGCGAUUGAAUGAGCCGAUGUCGGAUUAGCUAGUUGGCGGGGUAAAGGCCCACCAAGGCGACGAUCCGUAGCUGGUCUGAGAGGAUGAUCAGCCACACUGGAACUGAGACACGGUCCAGACUCCUACGGGAGGCAGCAGUGGGGAAUAUUGGACAAUGGGCGCAAGCCUGAUCCAGCCAUACCGCGUGGGUGAAGAAGGCCUUCGGGUUGUAAAGCCCUUUUGUUGGGAAAGAAAAGCAGCAGGUUAAUACCCCGCUGUUCUGACGGUACCCAAAGAAUAAGCACCGGCUAACUUCGU